GUGCUUAGUGGUAGAGCAUCUCCCUUGUAUGCAGAAAGUCCCUGGUUCAAUCCUCAGCAUCUCCA